GAUGAAGAACGCAGCGAAAUGCGAUACUUGGUGUGAAUUGCAGAAUCCCGUGAACCAUCGAGUCUUUGAACGCAAGUUGCGCCCGAAGCCACUAGGUCGAGGGCACGCCUGCCUGGGCGUCACACGCCGUUGCCCCCCCAUCUACUCCUUCGGGAUUGCGGGGGGGCGGAUGAUGGCCUCCUGUGCGCCUAGCCGCGCGGUUGGCAUAAAUACCAAGUCCUCGGCGACGCACGCCACGACAAUCGGUGGUUGCGAAACCUCGGUUGCCCGUCGUGUGCGUUCGUCGCGCAUCGAGGGCUCGAAAAAAUGCUCGGCUCCGGCUGGGCUUUCAACGCGACCCCAGGUCAGGCGGGGUUACCCGCUGAAUUUAAGCAUAUCAAUAAGCGGAGGA
rnacentral:misc_RNA from 1 species